CGGGGCUUCUCGCUCUUCUUCCUCUUCCCCUGGGGGCCUGGGGACCACACUCUGGCUCUCUUCUUUGCACCAGGCCCUGGAAACAUCUUCCUGCUUCUUGUGGGAGAAGCCGGCUUCCUGGAGGAGCCUUUCCGAGGUCAGAUUCCCUGCUGCAUCCCCAAGAUUCAGCACAGCCACUGCUGCAAAGUCUGUACUAAAUGAAUGAUCCAACUGCAUGAAGGAGCACAUGAUAGUGGACUGAAUGAGUGAAUAGAGGACAGCAGGUCACCGUGGAAGCAGGGUGCCCCCACUCGCUCUGCGUGCAGAGAAGUGCAGACCGAGGCACGAGUUACAGUGCUCGUGCAGAGGGUAAGCCUCAGGCACGAAUAAUAAAUAUAGAACUUGCGGUUCCGGCGGAAUCUGGGAUGAAAAGCCAGCCCCAAGAAGCCUCUCUCAUCCCCAAUCCAUGGCGUGGUCAACACAAUGCUCUUGAGGUCCAGGAAGGGUUGUUCC